rnacentral:misc_RNA from 1 species
GUGGCUUGAAAGAGAAACAUUUUUAUAGAAAAUGAUGUCUCGAGAGGUAAAGGUUUUGAGAGUACUAAGGUCAUAUAACUUGUAAGCUUUCUACUCAUUUGGAUAGCCUAAGAAAAUUCACUUGCGUGCAUGAGGAUCAAAUUUGGUAAUAGGGUGGACUGACAUUACAAAAGCAAGACAUCCAAACACCCUUAUAUGUGAGUAAGAAGGUAUCUUAGAGUAAAGUUUCUCAAAA